rnacentral:rRNA from 1 species
AGUGAACGCUGGCGGUAGGCCUAACACAUGCAAGUCGAACGGGAGCACAGUAAGAGCUUGCUCUUACGGGUGGCGAGUGGCGGACGGGUGAGGAAUACAGCGGAAUCUACUUUUUCGUGGGGGAUAACGUAGGGAAACGUACGCUAAUACCGCAUACGACCUACGGGUGGAAGCAGGGGAUCUUCGGACCUUGCGCGAUUGAAUGAGCCGAUGUCGGAUUAGCUAGCUGGCGGGGUAAAGGCCCACCAAGGCGACGAUCCGUAGCUGGUCUGAGAGGAUGAUCAGCCACACUGGAACUGAGACACGGUCCAGACUCCUACGGGAGGCAGGAGUGGGGAAUAUUGGACAAUGGGCGCAAGCCUGAUCCAGCCAUACCGCGUGGGUGAAGAAGGCCUUCGGGUUGUAAAGCCCUUUUGUUGGGAAAGAAAAGCAGCAGGUUAAUACCCCGCUGUUCUGACGGUACCCAAAGAAUAAGCACCGGCUAACUUCGUG